UUAAACUAAGACUGAAAAUUAUUCCUCUCGUUAUACAGGUGGGCGCCUAUUUAAACUAAGACUGAAAAUUAUUCCUCUCGUUAUACAGGUUGACGCCUAUUUAAACUAAGACUGAAAAUUAUUCCUCUCGUUAUACAGGUGGGCGCCUAUUUAAACUAAGAUUGAAAAUUAUUCCUCUCGUUAUACAGGUGGGCGCCUAUUUAUACUAAGACUGAAAAUUAUUCCUCUCGUUAUACAAGUGGGCGCCUAUUU
rnacentral:lncRNA from 1 species